GAUCCAAACAACCCAUGUAUACUUGAUCUGCAACAAAUGGCUCUUCCACUGGCAUAGAUACCUGUUGGAAAUUGUGUCCUAAAGUCAAUCGUUUGAUGAUUGUGCUGAUUAUAAAUGUAUACGAAUUGAUAAAUAAUAAAAGUUAUAUAGUAUUUUUCAUCACAAGGUUAUAUCUUCUAACAAACUCUUAUAUUGUGAUGAAGUCCUUGGAACUACUUUGAUCGAUAAAGAAGGAUUUAUC
rnacentral:lncRNA from 1 species